rnacentral:lncRNA from 1 species
UGUUUUGGUUCUGACCUGAGGGGUCGGCGGGCUCCUGAGGCAGCAGGCUGUCUUCGUCGUCGUCGUCGUAGUGCUCCUCGUUGCCGUGGUAACGCCCUCGGUGGGACGGCUCGUGGUGCUCGUAGGGGCCGCGUCUGGAGUCCCGGUCGGCCUCGCUGGCGUGAGAGUGAUGUCUGCGCCUUUUUCUUCUGUGGGAAGCGGGAACGCCGAUGUAGAAGGGCUGAGCUUCUGGAAGACACAGAAGGUUCUGGGACUGAGGGGGCGCCGCUGGUUCUGGCGCCUCGGGGGCCACAAAAAACUCUAAAAUUUGACAGAGGGGCCGGAACAGGAGCAGAUUUUUGGCAUGUUUUGCAGCUGAAGCCGGUCGGCCUCACCGUCAUCGUCGUCGUAGUGCCGGUGACCUCUGCUGCGCCCGCGCUGCCAGUCCUGAUGGUCCAUCCUGAGGAAGGUGAGCAGAAACCGGAAGAAGCUGGAACACAAAACAGAACCAGACGGAUGUCAGUUACUUUCCUAUUUUUAGAGAUACAUUUGAAAAAAAAAAAAAACUUCUUCGAAAUGAGGAGACCACAGCUGCAGCUCAGCCUCAUAUCAGCAGGUUCUCCAGGAGAACUGGUUCUGAAGACCCAAAAACAGAGUCUGAGAGCUUCAUGAAGUAUUAAGUCCAACAUUUAUUCUAUUAUUCUGGAAUAAUUCUCUAAAUUAUUACAUUUAUUGUAGAUCUCCAC